UCCAAGUUGGUCUCUUAUGCUUUUUCCUAUGGUAGAGCUGCUGAGGUAGGAUUCAAAUCAUAAAAUAAUCUUUAGCUCAUCUUCAGUUCCUCGCGCUUGGCGCAUGCGCAGAGCACGUUUAUAGACAGUUUUCAGAGACUGUGAUGACGCGUUUCCGCCUUAUCAGCGUAAAUCUCGCAUUUUUCUUUUUUUUUUUACAUUAUACAAUUUUUAAAUAUUUAGUGAAAAUUUAUAACAUUAUGCUUUGUUUUAUAUUAACCUUGAAUUAGUUUUAAAAAACGAAUUACCACAGCUGCCAGGGGUUUUCUAUUACAGCUGCUGAAAGAGUUACAGUAAAUUUGACAUCUUCUCCUUAUCUGACUGUCUUAAUCCACCGCUCUAGUUUUUUCCCUUUUCUGGAAAGUCAUUCAAACGUAAUAGUGGAUUUUUUUCUUUUGGUCUUGGAGCAAAUGGGUAAGUAAAAAUAAUAUUUGCUGUGAUCUCCCGUUCAUGUACAUUUAUGCAUUUGGCAGAUGCUUUUAUCCAAAGCGACUUACAGUGCACUUAUUACAGGGACAAUCCCCCUGGAGCAACCUGGAGUUAAGUGCCUUGCUCAAGGACACAAUGGUGGUGGCUCUGGGGAUUGAACCGGUAACCUGCUUACCAGUUGCUUUAACCCACUACGCCACCACCACACCAUUCACUCCUGUUCACCGUUGUUGAAGUUUACCUUGCAAAUGUUUACUUCUGCGUUCCAAAACCCAGAGUGUGAAAAAGGUCUAUUGUGCACGUACAGCGCUCUGUGCAUGCGUCAGGCGCGAGGAAACAGAAAACCUCAGGGCAAAACCAAAAAGCAGGAGCGAGGGUCCCUUCUGAGCUCUUGCAGCGAUCACAUAGAGGGGAUAACACUGUAUAUAUUUUAUGAAGCUUUACUUUCGAAUAGUGCAAUCUGUGCAUCACUUUAAACUGCAUUAAUUGUACCCUAGUAUGGAACAAAUAUGUAUUUUUUUCAAUUCCUCUUCCCAAAUAUCAUCAGAAAGUGUGACACAAUAUUGUUCUCCCAAGCUGUUUUAAGACAGUCUGAGGAUACUGUAACCUGAGAGCAAAACAUGGAAACAAACCGUGACGCCAGAUGCCUACAACAAGGGGCUGACGCAACAGACUAUACACAAAUGUAUCUUGUGGCAAAUUCUGAAAGUCAGAGAAAGUGUGUUUUACGUAGAGACACGCCUGCUGGUAACGAAAGAAAUGAGACUGGGAAAGGUCAAAAGUCUUAUUAAAGUGGUCAAAGGCAGCAAAUUUACCUUUUUAAUAAAAAUCCUUCACAGUGGCUAGACCUUUGCUUUUCCAGAUUGAAAAUAUUUUAUCAGAGUGGCCAGGCAAAAAAAUUAUGAUUUUUCACAGAUGGGCAGGAAUACUGAAGGAUGCGUGAUGUUCAAUGCAUUCCUAAUUUAGUUCAGAAUUCUAAUUCUAACAAAGUUUUUACAAUUAAACCUUUUCGACGAAUCAGCACUAGAGAAAAUAAUUGCUGCGAGAGAGCUACCAGGUCUCGAGCCUCCAUGCGUAACCACUUGGGAGACACAUCAACCGGGCCAUCUGUACUAUAUGGAUGACUGCUCUGCCAGUACACCAUAGUCCCUGGCAUUGGCAGAUCAAUAAUAAUGCUGAAAAACAGGUAGCAAAGAAGAGAGACCUUUCAUAUCAGGGUGAAGCAAUCUAUCUACAGGAGUCUGCAGUUGCAUAUCAUUAUCAUCGCAUAUAUAUUUGACUUGAAUGCUGACGCGUAAGUGGCAGCGGAAGUGGUAGCCCUCGUGUGAAGCCCUCCUCAUGUGAAGACCUACUUGGGUAAAGACCAGCGAGUCUACCUGUGCGAGUCCACCGAGCAAAGACACCGACAAGGCGCCACUCACCAUAGCAUUUAAGUAUCUUGUUAUUGUGUCGCUUUUCUUAUUUUCCUUCUAUAUACUAACAUGUCUGCUUAUCAAAUAACACAUGCCUUCAAGCACAUCCCUGUUAUCUGUUACAGACCGUUUACACGAUAUCGAUGCAAGACCAAACGCAACCCACACAACCUACGGCCACUUUGCACUUCAGCACCUGCUCCGCUCUCUUUCUCAGUGGGACUCUGGAACUGCCAGUCAGCUGUGAACAAAGCUGACUUCAUUCCAGCUUUUGCCACGCAGUCCAUCCUCAGCAUUCUGGCACUGACAGAAACAUGGAUACGUCCAGAGGAUACAGCAACACCUGCUGCUCUCUCCAACAACUUCUCCUUCUCUCACAACCCUCGACACACCAAUAGGGGUGGGGGAACAGGUUUGCUCAUUCAUAACAACUGGACUUUUUCACCACACUCUUUCUUCCUUACGUGGAGUGGUGGUGGUGUAGUGGACUAAAGCACUGAACUGGUAAGCAAAAGGUUGUUGGUUCAAUUCCCACAGCCACCACCAUUGUGUCCUUGAGCAAGGCACUUAACUCCAGGUUGCUCCAGGGGGAUUGUCCCUGUAAUAAGGGCACUGUAAGUCACUUUGGAUAAAAGCAUCUGCCAAAUGCAUAAAUGUAAAUGUUAUGUAACAAUACUAGUUUUGAAUUCCAUGCUAUUACUACAAUGCAACCCACAAAAAUACAUGUUGUUGUCAUCUAUCACCCUCCAGGUCAGCUGACAAACUUUCUUGAGGAGCUGGAUGUCCUGCUAUCCUCGUUGCCGGAAGAUGGUAGGCCACUUGUGGUUCUUAGUGAUUUCAACAUACACCAAGACAAGCCCCAGGCCACUGAACUGAAUAUUCUCCUGGCCUCAUUUGACUUGGAAAAACUACACACCACAGCAACUCACAGAUCGGGCAACCAGCUGGACCUCAUUUUUACACGCCAGCACGUGCUACACCACCCAGCCCCUGGCUGUCUGACGUCCUUUGUGAACAUCGGACUGACCUCAGGGCAGCUGAGAGGAGAUGGCGGAAAUCUAAAGAUCCAGCAGAUCUAGAACAAGCUGUUGGAUGACAAUCAGUCAGGCUUCAAAAGUGGACACUCCACUGAGACUGCCCUGCUGUCUGUCACUGAGUCGCUGAGAUGGGCGAAAGCUGAAUCCAGAUCAUCCGUCCUGAUUCUGCUGGACCUUUCUGCAGCCUUUGACACAGUCAACCAUCAGAGCUUACUCUCUACCCUCUCCUCGCUGGGCAUCACAGGAACUGUGCUUGACUGGUUUAAUUCCUAUCUCUCAGGAAGGUCCUUCAAGGUAGCCUGGAGAGGUGAGGUAUCCAAGCCACAUCAGCUACUUACUGGGGUACCUCAGGGAUCAGUGCUUGGGCCACUUCUCUUCUCUAUAUACACAACAUCACUGGGACCCAUCAUUCAGGCACAUGGUUUCUCUUACCACUGCUACGCUGAUGAGACGCAACUCUACUUGUCUUUCCAGCCCAACGACACCACAAUGACUGCUCGAAUUUCUGCCUGCCUGGUGGACAUCUCAGCCUGGAUGAAGGAGCACCACCUGCAACUCAAUCCAGCCAAGACUGAACUCCUUGUCUUUCCAGCCAACCCUGCUGUUGAACACAACAUCACCGUGCAGCUGGGUGCAACUACAGUAACGCCUUCCAAAUCAGUAGGGGUAACCAUCGACAACAGACUAAAUUUCACAGACCACAUCUCAAAGACCGCAAGAUCAUGUAGAUUUACACUGUACAAUAUCAGGAAGAUAAGACCCUUCCUCUCUGAACAUGCCACACAACUGCUUGUCCAGUCACUUGUCAUAACUAGACUGGACUACUGUAAUGCUCUCAUUGCAGGCCUCCCUGCAUGUGCAAUUAGACCCCUGCAAAUGAUCCAGAAUGCAGCAGCACGUCUGGUCUUUAAUGAACCAAAGAGAGCACGUUACACCACUCCUUGUCUCUCUCCACUGGCUGCCGGUUGAUGCACAUAUCAAAUUCAAGGCUCUGAUGCUGGCAUACAGAACAGUCACUGGGUCUGCUCCAGCAUACCUAAAAUCAUUUAUGCAGAGCUACGCGCCCACUAGAAGCCUGCGGUCGGCUAAGGAACGUCGUCUUGUUGUACCUACACAAAGAGGCACCAAAACACUUUCCCGGACUUUCAGCUUCAUCGUACCACGUUGGUGGAACGACCUUCCCAACUCCAUCCUUGAAGCUGACUCACUCUCGGUCUUCAAAAAACGACUAAAAACACAUCUUUUCCAUGAGCACUUAACCAGUUAUUUAAAAAAAUGUUAUUAAAAAAUAAAUAAAUAAAAAUAAUAUAUAUAUUCCUGUUGCAAUUUAUUCUGUUUUGAAUACUAUUAUGAUGCUAGUGAAACUUUGUAAUACAGCACUUUUCAUACCACUGUCUCCUUAAGAUGAUUCGCUUAUGUUUUCCUCUUUUGUAAGUCACUUUGGAUACAAGCGUCUGCCAAAUGAAUAAAUGUAAAUUAUUGCGAAUACAAAUGGCUAAAGGCUCUAGUGCCAUAUCGAAUAACAAUGGCCUUGAACCAAGUUGAAGAGGGGGAAAAAAUGAUUUGUCUGAGUUUGUACGUGUAGCUGAUAUGAGAGGAAUUAAUUAUUUUAGAUCAGUAAUCUAAACUUCUCGCCAAGCCAAACUGCUCUUGCAGAAAGAACAUGUAACUCCAUUCAAUCUGGUCAAAGCCAUUAUUGGCAUCUAAUGAAAUGACAACUGCCUUUGAGCCCUUACUAUGAUUUCCAAAGAUGAUGUUUAACAGGCGACGUAUGUUGGAAAUUGAAAAUCUGCCUGGAACAAUGCCAGUUUGAUCCUAGUGAAAUAAAGAGGCCUCAUGUCUACGCAGUUGGGUGAUCAAAAUCUUAGUGAACACUUUUUGGUUUAAAGUUAAGAAGACUUAUUGGUCUGAAACUAACAGGCUUUGUAUCAUCCCUAUGCUUUUUCCUCAGCAAACAUACAUGAGCCUCAUACAGUCAAUCUGUGAAAAUCCUAUUAUCAGUUGAGUGAUUUAUAAUUCUAAGCAUCGAAGCGGCGAUAGAAUUUGCACGUGCUUUAUAGAAUUCCACACCAAACCCAAAUAUAUAUAUACACACACACACAGGCGGCCAAAAGCUUGGAAUAAUGUAUAACCGCUGCCUCGACCUCGCAUAAGCAUCGGCUACAAAUCUGAUUUAUAGGGGAGGGACCCAUUAUCUAUUUUAUCAGGACAGCAGUUCAGUGUUUGGAGUGAUAAGCCAGGCAUACUUUCUCCAUUACAGACUGAGUUCUUCUAAUACCUACACCUGUCUUAUACCUGAGAGUACUUCUCUCUAGCGCCCUCUCAGGGUGAGUAGUAGAAUUAACAUGUAAACAGGUGUGUGACUGUUACAAAUGUACAGAUAAAAAUGGCAAAAAUGAAACAGCUUUCUCUAGAAACCCUGUCAGUCAAUCAUUGUUUUGAGGGAAGAAGGCUAUACAAUGCUUGAAAUUGCCAAAAAACUGAAGAUAUCGUACAAAGGUGUACACUACAUUAUUCAAAGACAAAGGACAACUGGCUCUAUCAAGGACAGAAAGAGAUGUGGAAGGCCAGAUGUACAACUAAACAAGAGGAUAAGUACAUCAGAGUCUCUAGUUUGAGAAAUAGACGCCUCACAUGUCCUCAGCUGACAGCUUCAUUGAAUUCUACCCGCUCAACACCAGUUUCAGGUACAACAGUAAAGAGGCCUUAUGGGGAGAAUUUCAAAGAAAAAGACACUUUUGAAACAGAAAAACAAAAAGAAAAGUUUAGAGUGUGCAAAUAAACACAGACAUUGGACAACAGAUAAUUGGAAAAGAGUGUUAUGGAUCUUAAGCCCAUUGAGAUUUUGUGGGAUCAGCUAGAUGGUAAGGUGCGUGAGAAGUGCAAGACAAGACAGCCACAUCUAUGGCAAGUGCUACAGGAAGUGUGGGGUGAAAUGUCACCUGAGUAUCUGGACAAACUGACAGCUAGAAUGCCAAGGAUCUUCAAAGCUGUCAUUGCUGCACAUGGAGGAUUUUUUGAUGAGAACUCUUUGAAGUAGUUUUUUUCAAAUUGUAAUAGUAAUUUUUCACGUUAUUAAUGUCUUGACUAUACGUUGUGAUCAGUUGAAUGCCACUUUGGUGAAUAAAAGUACCAAUUUCUUUACAUAAGAGCAAAAUCUGUACAUUAUUCCAAACAUUUGGCCACCAAUGUAUAUACAGUUGAAAUCAGAAGUUUACAUACACUUAGGUUGAAGUCAUUAAAACUCAUUUUUUAACCACUCCACAGAUUUCAUAUUAGCAAACUAUAGAUUUGGCAAGUCGUUUAGGACAUCUACUUGUGUGUGACAUAAGUAAUUUUUCCAACAAUUGUUUACAGACAGAUUGUUUCACUUUUAAUUGACUAUAUCACAAUUCCAGUGGGUCAGAAGUUUACAUAUACAUUAAUUGUGCCUUUAAGCAGCUUGGAAAAUUCCAGAAAAUUAUGUCAAGCCUUUAGGCAAUUAGCCAAUUAGCUUUUGAUAGGCUAAUUGGCUAAUUGGAGGUCUACCUGUGAAUGUAUUUUAAGGCCUACUUUCAAACUCAGUGCCUCUUUGCUUGACAUCAUGGGAAAAUCAAAAGAAAUCAGCCAAAACCUCAGAAAAAAAUAAUUGUGGACCUCCACAAGUCUGGUUCAUCCUUGGGAGCAAUUUUCAAAUGCCUGAUGGUACCAUGUUCAUCUGUAUAAACAAUAGUACGCAAGUAUAAACACCAUGGGACCACGCAGCCAUCAUACCGCUCAGGAAGGAGACGCAUUCUGUCUCCUAGAGAUGAAUGUAGUUUGGGGCGAAAAGUACAAAUCAAUCCCAGAACAACUGCAAAGGACCUUGUGAAAAUGCUGGAGGAAAGAGGUAGACAAGUAUCUAUAUCCACAGUAAAACGAGUCCUGUAUCGACAUAACCUGAAAGGCUGCUUAGCAUGGAAGAAGACACUGCUCCAAAACCACCAUACAAAGCCAGACUACAGUUUGCAAGUGCUCAUGGGGACAAAGAUCUUAAUUUUUGGAGUAAUGUCCUCUGAUCUGAUGAAACAAAAAUGUAACUGUUUGGCCAUAAUGACAAUCGUUAUGUUUGGAGGAAAAAGGGUGAGGAUUGCAAGUUGAAGAACACCAUCCCAACCGUGAAGCAUGGGGGUGGCAGCAUCAUGUUGUGGGGGUGCUUUGCUGCAGGAGGGACUGGUGCACUUCAAAAAAUAGAUGGCAUCAUGAGGAAGGAAAAUUAUGUGGAUAUACUGAAGCAACAUCUCAAGACAUCAGCCAUGAAGUUAAAGCUCAGUCACAAAUGGGUCUUCCAAAUGGACAAUAACCCCAAGCAUACCUCCAAAGUUGUGGCAAAAAUGGCUUUGGGACAACAAAGUCAAAGCAUUGGAGUGGCCAUCACAAUGCCCUGACUUCAAUCUGAUAGAAAAUUUGUGGGCAGAACUGAGAAUGCAUCUGUGAGCAAGGAGGCCUACAAACCAGACUCAGUUACACCAGUUCUGUCUGGAGGAAUGGGCCAAUAUUCCAGCAACUUAUUGUGAAAAGCUUGUGCAAGGCUACCCAAAAUGUUUGACCCAAGUUAAACAAUUUAAAGUCAAUGCUACUAAAUACUAACAAAGUGUAUGUAAACUUCUGACCCACUGGGAAUGAGAUGAAAGUAAUAAAAGCUGAAAUAAAUAAUUCUCUCUACUAUUAUUCUGACAUUUAACAUUCUUAAAAUAAAGUAGUGAUCCCAACUGACCUAAGACAGGGAAUGUUUUCUACGAUUAAAUGUCAGGAAUUGUGAAGAACUGAGUUUAAAUGUAUUUGGCUAAGGUGUAUGUAAACUUCUGACUUCAACUGUAACAAAGCAAAUAUUGAUUAGUGAGUUUAAAGUGUGUUCCUUUACCCUAUCAAUCAAUGCAAUGACUUUUUCAAAUAAUUAUUUGUAAAACUGCAUGUAGUGUAUAUAAAAACAUAAUGUAAAAAAUGCGCCAUCUGAUUGAAGUCUGUCCCAAAUGCACACUUUUACCACUCGUGCCCCCUCAUGGACUUGCUGACUAGCACCUCAUCAGUCUGCACUUGCUUACGUCACCAAAGUCUGCAAUCAGAGGAAGACCGCAAGGGUGGAGGGUGGAAUUUGGGACUGGGCCAAUGUAGCAGAUAUGUUGUAUUAAACUGAGAUGAGACUGUUUGCACGAGUGAGGCUGUCUUAAAUAUAAAAAGAUAUUUACAUUUAGUUAUUUAGUAGAUGCUUUUAUCCAAAGCGACUUACAAAAGAAAGACAUAGCAAGCAAUUUGUCAUAGAAAGUUCAACAACAUCUACAGUGUUGUACUGCCAAGCUCUCAAGGUGUAGUAUAGGUGCUAGCGCAGAAGAAAUAUUUUAUUUUUUUUGUACAGUAAGUGGAAGUUCAGUAGUAAGUGCAAUUGGUGUGGAUUGGUUAAAUGCUCUGAACAGAUGUGUUUUCAGAUGGUUCUUGAAAGUUGAGAUGGUAUCAGCAGAUAGUGUGAAGGUUGGAAACUCAUUCCGCCACAGAGGAACAGAGAAAGUGAACGACCGUGAAAUAGACUUUGAGCCUUUGUGUGAUGGGACCACCAAGCCAGAGUCAAAGCCAUGAAUUUGAUGCAGGCAUCUACAGGUAGCCAGUGGAGUGAAAUCAAGAGAGGGGUGACAUGAGCCAUUUUUGGCUUACUGAAGACCAGAUGCGCUGCUGCAUUCGGACCAUCCGCAGUGGCUUAAUCGUGUUAGCUAGGAGCCCAACCAACAAAGCAUUAAAAUACUCCAGUCUUGAAAUGACCAGAGCUUGGACCAGGAGUUAUGCAGCAUAUUCAGACAGAACAUUUCUGAAUUUCCUGAUAUUAUAGAGCACAAAUCUUCAAGACUGGGUGGUUGAUGAGAUGUGGGCGGUAAAAUUAAGCUGGUCAUCUACCACCAAUCCCAGGUUCCGAGCUGUUCUGGUUGGUGUAAGUGUAGUUGAACCAAGAUGAAUAGUGAGGCUGUGGUCAACAGAUGGGUUGACUGGGAUCAUGAGGAGUUCUGUCUUGGCAAGGUUGAGUUGAAGGUGAUGUUUUUUUCAUCCAAAGAGGAAAAGAACCAAACAUUACACCUGUGUAGACUGGCAAUACUGAUGUGGAUCCAGAUAAAAGUUUAAAUCACCGCCGAGAAUCAGAUUGGUUGAGCUAGGGUCUGGAAGUAAAUUAAAAAAACUUUGCAGAAGAAACUGGGAUCAUCCAUAUUUAGACCUUACACAUUCACAGGUUACAGGGAAAUUAUUAAUGAAUCCAGAUACUAUAGUGUAUCUCCCCACCAGGUCAGCCACUACGAAUUGCAUAUGAAAAGGAAUGGAUUUUCUUAAUAACACACAGUGCAUUCAUAAAGUAUUCAGACCCCUUCAU